UGGAAAUGCAGAAGGGGAGCCUGUGGUACCUGAACGACAGAUUAGAAUAAGUGAGAAACCUGGUGCUCCAGAAGAUAACCAAGAAGAGGAGGAUGAAGGCUUGGGAGUUGAUCUCUCUUUCAUUGGCUCUCAUGCUUUUGCUCGAAUGGAAGGAGAUAUUGACAAGCAAAGAAAACUGAUCCUUCAGGGACAAUUAUCAGAGGCAGCUCUGCAGAAGCAGCAUCAAAGAAAUUAUAAUCGCUGGUUAUGUCAAGCAAGAUCUGAGGAUCUGUCUGAUAUUGCUUCUCUAAAAGCCUUAUACCAAACAGGUGUUGAUAACUGUGGUCGAACAGUGAUGGUGGUAGUUGGAAGAAACAUUCCUGUAACAUUAAUAGAUAUGGACAAGGCUCUCUUAUAUUUCAUUCAUGUAAUGGAUCACAUUGCUGUGAAGGAGUAUGUAUUAGUGUAUUUUCACACCCUGACCAGCGAAUACAAUCACCUGGACUCCGACUUCCUGAAGAAACUCUACGAUGUUGUUGAUGUCAAGUUAGUUAUUUUUGCAAAUUAUGAAGGGGAAAUAGUUUCUUUCUUCUCUAAUAUUAAGCAGUGGCAAACAUUGCUUUGUAUUCUGUGAAAGGAUAUUUCAUGUAACAAAGACUUUUAUCAUACCUAGAUUAGAUAUUUCAAUCAUAGGAGACCCUCCGUAACUGAAAUUUAUUUUGCAUUAAAGUAAAUUCAUAUGUAAACUUUUUACAUUACCAAUCUUUGUGGAUAAAAUAACAAAAAUACUACCUUCUAUUUAUAUGAUGUAUUAUACUUAUCAAAAUACAUUUAUAAACAUUAUUUACUUUGAUCCUUUAACCCAGGAGUUGGUUAGGAGAGAUAUUAUCUGUGUUUGAAAGAUGGAAGAUAUUGACAUUCUGCAAGGUGAAGUAUGUGCCCAAAGUCUCACAACGGUAAAUGCAGAAUUUGGACUUGAACCCAGGUUACUGACUUGGAGCUAGAAAAUUAUUUUCAUUAAAGCAUAUUUCCCUUGAAAUGAUAAUGGAAAUUUUAACCAGAAAAUACAUGAUACCCCACUAUAGCAAAGAUGAAAUGUAGUGUUUUACAUUUUUUCUUAUUUUUUUUUC
rnacentral:sRNA from 1 species